rnacentral:lncRNA from 1 species
GAACAAUGCUACAGGGGUGAAUGGAAGGGAGCUCAGAACACCUAUGCAAGUUUCUGUAUGUGCAGAGCAAAUCUCAGUGAGAACUGAUGGUGAGCUUUUGUCAGUACUCCUCCAGUUUGAAGAAAUACAGGCCCAUAAAUACUGGACUGUAAUUAUUGAAGAUCUAAAUAUCUUAUGGAACACAUCACAGAAGUAUACUAUGAUUUAUUUGCUCCAUUCAAGAUGAAGACAGAAGAUUCAUUUCUAGAUGAAGAGGAUGUUAAACUUAUAUUUGAACUGGAGUGAUGCAAAGAUGAAUCAUCUUACAAUUCCUGCUCUGAAGGAGCCCGUAAUUAUGGAGCACAGAGGAGGAGAGCCACUCCCAGCACACUGGAAGAGGCUUCCAGGCUGCCAUUCAACCCCCGUGAGUGCAGAGGAGGUGAGCCACUCCAAGUGCACAGGAGGAAGUUUCCCGGCUGCCAUACCACCCCUACCCGCCCAGAGGAG